AGGGUGUAAACGCUGCAGACUUGGUGUUGGAGGCCCUUUGGGGGCAUUCAGUGCCGGAGAGAAGUUGUUAAGUCUGCUACUUGGGGAGUACGUCCGCAAGGAUGAAACUUAAAGGAAUUGGCGGGGGAGCACCGCAACGGGAGGAGCGUGCGGUUUAAUUGGAUUCAACUCCGUAAACUCACCAGGGAAGACUGUUACAUGAAGGCCGAGAUGAAGACUCUGCUAGAUUUUCAGAGAGGAGGUGCAUGGCGUCAGUGACU
rnacentral:rRNA from 1 species